rnacentral:RNase_P_RNA from 1 species
UCAGCUGGCCGGGUGGCCGCACCGUCCAAUGCCGAAAGGCGGCCGGUGAGGAAAGUCCGGGCUCCACGGAAACACGGUGCCGGGUAACGCCCGGCGGGGGCAACCCCAGGGAAAGUGCCACAGAAAGCAAACCGCCGGGCGGCUUCGGUUUUGCCGAAUGUCGUUCGGUAAGGGUGAAAGGGUGCGGCAAGAGCGCACCGCGCGACCGGUAACGGAAGCGGCAAGGUAAACCCCACCGGGAGCAAAACCGAAUAGGGACGGCGCGGUGCGUGAGCGCCGGAGCGUUUCCGCUUCUGCCGUCCGGGUUGGUUGCUUGAGGCCGUCUGCAAAGGCGGUCCCAGAGGAAUGGUCACCGCAAUGCCAUCUGCCGAUGGCAGCGCACAGAACCCGGCUUACAGGCCAGCUGACACC